UACAGAGGUCUCAAGCGUUGUUCGGAUUCAUUGGGCGUAAAGGGUGUGUAGGUGGCGCGCUAAGUCGGGUGUGAAAUUUCGGAGCUUAACUCCGAAACUGCAUUCGAUACUGGCGUGCUUGAGGACUGGAGAGGAGACUGGAAUUCAUGGUGUAGCGUGAAAUGCGUAGAGAUCAUGAGGAAGACCAGUGGCGAAGGCGGGUCUCUGGACAGUUCCUGACAGCUGAGACACGAAGGCCAGGGGAGCAAACGGGAUUAGAACCGUACCGUCGUAG
rnacentral:rRNA from 1 species